UACGAAGGGGGCUAGCGUUGUUCGGAAUUACUGGGCGUAAAGGGCGCGUAGGCGGUGUGUCAAGUCAGGCGUGAAAGCCCCGGGCUCAACCUGGGAACCGCGCUUGAGACUGGCACGCUAGAGUUCGGGAGAGGAUGGUGGAAUUCCCAGUGUAGAGGUGAAAUUCGUAGAUAUUCGGAAGAACACCAGUGGCGAAGGCGGCUCACUGGACCGGCAUUGACGCUGAGGUGCGAAAGCGUGGGGAGCAAACAGG
rnacentral:rRNA from 1 species